UACGUAGGGUGCAAGCGUUAAUCGGAAUUACUGGGCGUAACAGCGUGCGCAGGCGGUUUGUAAGUCUGUCGUGAAAUCCCCCGGGCUUAACCUGGGAAUUGCGAUGGAGACUGCAAGGCUAGAAUCUGGCAGAGGGGGGGUAGAAUUCCACGUGUAGCAGUGAAAUGCGUAGAGAUGUGGAGGAACACCGAUGGCGAAGGCAGCCCCCCUGGGUCAAGAUUGACGCUCAUGCACGAAAGCGUGGGGA
rnacentral:rRNA from 1 species